UUCUGUCCUGAGGAGUCUCUCCCUUGUCAACAUGGAUUAUGGCAGAUGCCUGAAAAGUUUCCAGAGGGGCUGGCCAACACAGGAGGCAGGGUCCCUGUAGCUAGAAGACCCAGCUGAAAAAUUUGCCUUCGACGGAAACAUGAACAUGAUAGGCGGCCUUACAGAGCAUAUGCCACUCUUUUUGGCAUAUGAGAAGCUCAUUGUAGCAGGCACUCCCGGAAUGUGAUAAGAAUAGUGGAGGUGAAGUUAGGCGUCAUAAAGAACUCUGAAAGCCAAGAGACUUCUCUCCUGAGCCUUUCAGCUUCCUGCUCUGUGGACCAGUUACUCUCCAGGCCAAUGGAGAAUCCCCUUUGCCACCAGCCUGGGCAUUCCCUUCACCUCUCUCCUGUGUUGGAGCUGUUCCUUCCUGGCGUUCGUGCGCUCUCUCUCUCCUGGUGUGGUGGAGCAUAUUGUCGAGUAGCUUCUUAAGACACGAUACUUGGAAGUAAGUUUGUUGAAAUUUUUGUA